GGAAGUGUCAAACGAUGAAGUGGACAUUCAAAGUCGUGCAAAAACUCAAUACAUUGUGUACGAAAAUUGUGAUGAUGUAUAUUUUAGCGCGCUGCAACUGAUGUCACACAUCAGUUCCAAACUGCGAGACCGCAACGAAAGACCUACCUUGUGAGUGGGAAAUAAUUAAUUAUCAAUCAGAAAAUGACUGACGUAUAUGAUGAUUUUCCUCAAUACGCUCAAGACCCGUUACAACAGUUCACUCAGCAAUACAAAGAUUUAUUUGGGGUGGAAUCGACGCAAAUUGAUCAAAAACGUAAAAAACGAGUUUCUCCAAAAAAUAAUAAGCGGAUAACUCCAAAAUCUUUUGUGGUGUGUAACGAACAGAAAGGCUUCAAAAUGAUCCAGAUAAAGGUGGUGGACCUGGUCUGCGAGCGUGACCGAGCAAAUUCGAACUCAUCAUCAUCUACGUCAGAUGCUGACAGCGAGUGCGUGUUACUUAGUGCCCAAUACGUAGUCCAUGACGCAGUGGACGAAAUAAUGGAUAUGACAGAAUGUGUAAUUAAAAAGAUAUCAAAAAAGUUAACUGGUUCUAACUUUUAAUUGAUUAUGUUUUUUAAUAUAGUUGUAAAUGUAAUGAAAUAAAUUAUUAUGCAAAAA